CCUGCCUAGGGAGCCCAGAGGCAGGACAUUCGCCUGGCGGGGGUGGGGGGGCAGUGACCUCACACUGGUUUUCAGCAGCCCUCAGCGUAUAAGGCAAAAGGAAGGAGGGGAGGUGGUGACCUCACAGAGGGACCCACAUCUCAGGCUGAUAAAGGGGGGGCGGGCCCAGGGGACUUUGGAGACCCCCGGUUGCUUUAGCUCUGGUGCGUCUCCUCCUCACGGGUCCUUUGUGCUCUGUGAGUUCCACAUCCCGACACCUUUGUGCAGAAGCUAAGAGCCCCCAGGGGUUGGAUCCCGCCCGGGGCCGGCUGGGUUCCAGGCAGGCCCAGCCCUCGGUCUAGAGCUAGAAGGAGAUUCCCCACCUGGGCUGCGUCCUUAGCACCACUGGGGCUUUCUCCUGGUUGGUUUCCCUUUUCCUCCAUCCCCCCACAUUUGUCCUCAGUUCUUGCCUUUUUGUGCCCUUCCCCUGCUGCCCACCCCGCAGCUUGUGACCCAACAGACUAGCUGACUGAAUUUUGGGAGUUAUUAGGAAAGAAAUAGAUAAUUCUAUAAAGGCGAAAUAAUAUUUUCUGUGUUAAGUCACUGUGAGCCCUCAUGUGAAAUCCUGGUCACCCCAUCUAAGCAAAAGGGACAGAAAGGGAAACAGAAAUGAUUUUGGGGAAAGAAACAGCUUCCAUGUGAGAAGAGAUGAGCAAGCCUGAGACCUUUCAGCUUGGAAAAGAAAUGACCAUGGGUGGGAGAUCAGUUCCAUGUCUAGAAAAUCAUGAAUAGUGAAGAAAAACAGAAUGACACACCUGGCUGGCUAAGCGUUCUCAGAGAGGAGUUAUCAACAAUUCUCAGUCAUGCUGGAAGGGCAAAACCAGUGGGGUUCCACGGGGUUUAGUUCAAUAUCUUCAUCAAUGAUUUAGAUAUUAGCGUAGAGAAGACGCUUAUCAAGUUUGCAGAUGAAGCCAACUUGCAGGAGGAAUAACAGUAGUUCGAAUUAGGAGCUUUAAUUCAAACUACCGGGUCCCUGCCGCGUGUAGCCACAGGCAGUUAGUCCGGACUACGGGGCAUUUAAAAUUUCACCCAUCUGGGAACGUGCAAAUGAAAUCUGGGAUAUUUAAAUCCCAGGCUUCAUUUGCAAGUUCUAAUGCCUAUAUUAGCCUCCCUAGUCCAAACUAGGGGGCUAGUUUAGACAUACCCUACGGCAGGGAAGGGGGGAUGUUUGGACAACUCACAGCUCCCACCUCCUCUUCUGGGAGGCCUGAGGCCUGCAGCUGUCCUAGGUGGGGCAGGCAGGUCCCAGGCUCACGGAUUCUGUCCCCUAACCUAAUUCCUGGGGGUGCAGAGUCCAACCGCCGUGCAGCGCUUCCUGAUGGCCAUCCCCAUGGCCUGCCCGGCCACCUCCAAAGAGGCGAGGACACCCUGGCACCGCAUUGAUGCCAGGACACCGUGGUGGCCAAGAUCGUGAUGAGUGAGUUGCAGCAACCGGCAGCAGGGGACAGGAUACGUGGGGUGGACAGGAGCCCUGCCUAGGCCAUGUGAAUGGAUUCCCCACCUCCAUGGUCCUGGCCAACUGCCUCAGCACCGCCGACAGCCUCAGGAGCUCAGCCAGGCCCUGCCCGACAUCCUCACUGCCAGGAGCGGGUGGACUCCCGAGUGGAGGACGUGGCCAUUUAUGAUAUUGAAGAGCAGCUCCACACCCGGGACACGGUACAAACCUUUCCACAUGGGUGGGCCCGAGAUUGUCUGGCCCCUUCCCAGCACGUUCCCCACCUCCACCCCGCUCCCACGAAGGGCUUGUCCCUGGGGAUCCCCCUUGGGCUCCUUCUCCUGCAUGACCUGUGCCCCACAAGGUGGGGGCUCUUGUCAUGCACCAGCUGGG